rnacentral:lncRNA from 1 species
GACGUGUUUGAAAUGACAGGGGUGGGGCUCAAAUGGAGAUUCCGAAUGGGCCACAGUCAGACUUCCUGAAUUCUAUGUUGCUUUCCUAGGACCUAUGACCUCACAAUCAUGCAGGGCAUGAGGCCAUGGUGACAAAGACAUAAAGAUGGCAUGUGGUCCCUGUCCCUAAGGCGCUCACAGUCUUGGGAGUGGGUCAGAAGAUGGGGGACAGGCACAUAAACAGAUGCUUCCAACAACAAAUACUAUGAAAAGAUGCCUUGGGCACAGAGAAGGGCCCGAGCUGAGUCAAGCAAGGUUCCCUGACAGGGCUUGACCUGUGCCACCCAGAAGGAUGUUAAAGUCCUAACCCUGCCACUUCUGAGUGUGAUGAUAUUUGGAAGUAGAUCUUUGCAAAUCUCAUUAAGUGAAGAUGAGGUUGUUAGGAUGGAAGCCAGUCCAUGAAACUGAAAGCUAAGGAGUGCUGAGGAAUGAUGGUCAUGACCAGAAAGCAAGAGAAGCAAGGAAGUGCUCCACAGCCUCUUGGGGGAAGAGUCCCGCGACACCUGGAAUCUAGACUCCUGACCUCCUGGGCAGGUUGUAUAACCUCAGCACGUCUCCUUCUCUACCUGAUGCAACGCUGUUUUGAAGAGCCAUCCAUUUUGCUGAAGGAACCUCUGCUUUAGUUCUAACAGCUGCGCAGUACUCCGUAGGGCACAGUGCCGCCUUUUACAUAUCCAAGGCCUUGCUUGACUCCAGCAUGGUGGCUCACGAACAUUGCCAGAGCACCCUUCCACCUGUCCACUUGUGGAUCCUGGUAGAAAUCUGUCUGGGGAACACACCAGUAGCUUUGUGGUUACGGCACACACACACCGCUACCUUGAACGUGCUGCCAGCUUGCUUUCCACGGUUGGAAAAGUAGCAGUUAACACCGCUGCCGUCAAUACAGAGGCUACUGUCCCGCAUCUACUCCCAAGCCGUUACUCGCAGUUCUGAGGGGCCUAAUGUAGCGGAUCAUUCAGUGCAUCCCUGCCGAUAUCCAUAGCCAGUUUUUCUUUUGGAUUUCCUUUUUCUGAUUUGCAAGAAGCCAUGUGUGAUACAUACGAAGCCCUUUUCAAUUUUGGGCACUGCAGACACCUGGUCUGCUCUGAGUGUUGUUAUGGUGUGUGCUGAACAGAAACCCUUCGUUUCCAUGUGGUCAAAUCGCCCCGCCCUUACAUCUGGACACACAGGAGAGGAGAGGAGCCAAGCUCAUCUUUAUAACUCACUCUGGCAGUGAGCAGCCCUGAGCCCUCACAGCCUAACCCUUCUUAAAAGUCCCACUGCUGACCAUGGUGGCACUGGAACCAAGUUUCCAACUUGGCGGACACACUGGAACCACAGCAGAACAGCCAGGAACUUCGAGAAAAUUCUCUCAUGUUGCCAUAGCCAGAAUAAAAGGCCACGAUGAGGCUGAGUGGAGUCCAUGAAAUGUUCAGUGUCUCUGAAACCUGUGUAAUAGUUUGUGUGGGUGGAGAAGAUGAAAUCGUAAGGGGAGAAAGUGCUGAGUGUGGUCCUGGAGUUUAAGUCCUCAGCAAUCGCAGGCAAGAACAGGAUACUUAGUUUUUUCAGACUUGCCUACUACAAACUCUGGUUAUCAGGAAGGAGAAAAAGGGUGAGAGGUAGAUUUCACACCACCUGUGGUAACCCUGACAGAAUAGAGAGAAUAGCCAGCACAGGUACUUUUUAGGAAUAAUAGUGACACCUCAGGAGGCUGACGCAGGAGGAUCAAGAGGUCAAGCUAAGCCUGAAC